rnacentral:rRNA from 1 species
AACGAACGCUGGCGGCAGGCUUAACACAUGCAAGUCGAACGCCCCGCAAGGGGAGUGGCAGACGGGUGCGUACCGCGUGGGAACAUACCCUUUUCUACGGAAUAGCUCUGGGAAACUGGAAUUAAUACCGUAUACGCCCUACGGGGGAAAGAUUUAUCGGGGAAGGAUUGGCCCGCGUUGGAUUAGCUAGUUGGUGGGGUAAAGGCCUACCAAGGCGACGAUCCAUAGCUGGUCUGAGAGGAUGAUCAGCCACAUUGGGACUGAGACACGGCCCAAUCUCCUACGGGAGGCAGCAGUGGGGAAUAUUGGACAAUGGGCGCAAGCCUGAUCCAGCCAUGCCGCGUGAGUGAUGAAGGCCUUAGGGUUGUAAAGCUCUUUCACCGAUGAAGAUAAUGACGGUAGUCGGAGAAGAAGCCCCGGCUAACUUCGUG